rnacentral:rRNA from 1 species
GACGAACCUGACGAACGUUAUUCGGAAUCACUGGGCUUAAAGGGUGCGUAGGCUGUGCAGCAAGUUGGGUGUGAAAUCCCUCGGCUUAACCGAGGAACUGCCCUCCAAACUGCUUGGCUUGAGUCCGGGAGAGGUGAGUGGAAUUCCCAGUGUAGCGGUGAAAUGCGUAGAUAUUGGGAGGAACACCAGUGGCGAAGGCGGCUCACUGGACCGGAACUGACGCUGAGGCGCGAAAGCGUGGGGAGCAAACGGG